AUGCAGCACGCCGCGUGAGGGAUGACGGCCUUCGGGUUGUAAACCUCUUUUAGCAGGGAAGAAGCGAAAGUGACGGUACCUGCAGAAAAAGCGCCGGCUAACUACGUGCCAGCAGCCGCGGUAAUACGUAGGGCGCAAGCGUUAUCCGGAAUUAUUGGGCGUAAAGAGCUCGUAGGCGGUUUGUCGCGUCUGCUGUGAAAUCCGGAGGCUCAACCUCCGGCCUGCAGUGGGUACGGGCAGACUAGAGUGCGGUAGGGGAGAUUGGAAUUCCUGGUGUAGCGGUGGAAUGCGCAGAUAUCAGGAGGAACACCGAUGGCGAAGGCAGAUCUCUGGGCCGUAACUGACGCUGAGGAGCGAAAGGGUGGGGAGCAAACA
rnacentral:rRNA from 1 species